AAAUGAUAAAGCCAAUGGAAUAAAAUGUCCACAACAGGUGAUUCUGGAUAAAGGGUAUUUGUUGUGCUUCUCAAUAUUUUUACUAUUGCAAUUUUUCUGUAAUUUGAAAUGAGUUCCACACUAGAAGUUUAACAAAUAUACACCUUACAGUUUGAAAUUAUGUUUUAAAGAAAAGUUGGAAAGCGGAGAGACAAAAGGGGGAAAAAAACAGGUAAAAAAUUAAUUUCGGGAAAAUAAUUAUCCACACAUCUAGGUGGCUUCUUCCCAUCUUCUGAGACAGGUCAGCAUCAUAGAUGCCUACUGUACUCCAGUCCUCAGCCUCAUUCUUAUCUCUCCAGUCUUCCUGAUCAGGAAAUAGCUUCAAAGGUCAGCCAGGUUGGCUCAAAAAAUCCACAGACAAAAUGGGUGAAAAUGAGUAUCUUGGAAAUGGUGUGUUGCAUCCUCUUGGUCCUGAGCACUCUGCCUCCUCGUGCUGCUCCUGGAGCCACCACUGAAUCAGAGACAGAGACUUGCUCUGUUGCCCAGGCUGGAGUGCCAUGGUGUGAUCCUGGCUCACUGCAACCUCUGCCUCCCGAGUUCAAGUGAUUCUCCUACCUCAGCCUCCCAAGUCACCGGGCUAAAGGUGCCCACCACCACGCCUGGCUAAUUGUUGUGUUUUUAGUAGAAACGAGGUUUACCAAGGCUGGUCUCAAACUCCUGACCUCAGGUGAUCCGCCCGCUUCAGACUCCCAAAGUGCUGGAAUUACAGGUGAGGCAAACACAUUUCUAUGCCAGACCUCUAGGGGGAACUCCUUGGGAUUGACGCUCAAAGGCAUGAAGCUUUGAAUUUCUCUCUCAAUGUUACAAAACUUAAAACCCCCUUCGAAAUAGAUGGCUACGCUGCAGACCAAGGUACUAAACAAUAUUUUAUUAUAACAAUAAUCAUUAGUGAUGUCAAUUGAGAAAAAUGACAACACAAGUCUCAAUCAUUUUAGGAAGUUUAUUUGCCAAAGGUAAGAAUGCGAGCCUGGGAGACAGGUCUAUGCCUUUCUCCAAAGAUGAUUCUGAGGGCUCCAAAUUUAAAGGGGAAAGGGCAGGAUAUUGCAAAGUACACAAUUUUCACGUAAGAGGGGGCUAGGAAAAAUUAGUCAUUCGUGCCUUUGUCUGGCUCAAUAAAUCUGCAUUUUUUUUAUGUAAGAUGACAUAGACAAAUAAGGCAGAGGAAAAAGGCAGGCAAUCUGCAUUUUACAUAAGAUAACAUAGACAAAAUGGGGCAGGGAAAUAAUCAGAUAGGCAUUUGGGUCAGUUGGGCAGGAGGAUGGCUGCACCUGUAAAGAUAAGCUAUCAAUUUGCAUUGCCAUGGUGAAAUUUUAACAGAAACACCUUAGAGUAAAGAUCUUGCAGCUCACCAGGAAUUUACUUGUAGGCAAAAUAUGGGGGAGACAUGUAGCUUUUCAUCUUGUAGCCAUCUUAUUUAGGAAUGAAAAACGGGGAGGCAGGUUUGGGUGACCCCGUCCCUAGCUCCACUUUUCCCUUUGGCUUAAUGAGUUUGGGGUCCCAAGAUUUAAUUUCCUUUCACAAUAUCAUUCUAUUCUAAGCCACUGAAAUGUGUUAACUCAUUUAAUCCUCACAACAACCUUGUAAGAGAAGUAUAUGAUUACUUCCAGUUUAUAAUACAAAUGAAGAAAUCAAAGCCCAGACAGAAUAAGUAACUUGCCCAAGGUCAUGCAACUGGUAAGCCACUGAAUUUGAACCCAGGAAAUUUGACUUCAAAGACCACAUUCUUAAUUACCACACUCAACUUCUCAACUGCACCAUCCUAAGACCCAGACAUCAACCUUCAUCUGUUAGCCAGUUAGAACAAUUCAAAUUAUCCUGGUUGAGUGGCCUGGAUGUCACUACAGAUGCGAUAUUGCCUUUGUUUACAAUCCCAUUGUCUAAGCUUCAUAAGGCAAACCCCUAUUGAAAAGUCAAGUUUACUCCAUGGUUGCUAUUAAAUUUCUGGGGCCAUGUUCAGCAUUUGUUCUUUUCACCCCCGUCAAAUGAACUGGAUAGACUAAGCAACUAAUUGAUUUUCUCCAUAAAAUCUUCAACAAUUUUCUCAUAACCCAAAAUGAUCUCUCCCCUCUAAAUCCAUUAUGAAUCAUCAGGUGGUGUUCGGCUUCCAUAACAAUAGACAAUGUGCCAUUUCCUUGCACAUAAUCCCUGGGUGGCAGGACCUAAGAUUUGUUCGGUUGGCUUAGCUCAUACUUCACAUAGAUUCUGAUCAAGAAAUCUAUUUUCCCCUCUCUGGGAAGCAGGAGAUCCACGGCUGGCUUUCAUGGAAAACAAGCAACCACUUAUCUCAUGGGCUUUCCAGUCUCAAAAGAAAGCCCCACAGCUAUAAUAGGGAGGGUGCUGUAGUAGAGGUUAUAGAAGUAGUAGUAGUAAUAGUCUCAUAGCACCAGUAAUAGGCGUAGUGGCUAACAUUUCACCAAGUAUCAGGUCCGACUUUAAAUACUUUACCUCAUCACAUCCCUAUGAUGUAAGUACUGUCGUAUCCCAUUUUAUAAAUGAGAAGGCUGAGGCACAAAAUAAGGCAGGUAUGUGGGCCCUUGGAAAGUCAGAUUUUGCAGCCACCUUGUAUUGGUCAGACAGUCUUACCACUGUAGCAAACAACCCCACUUCUCAGUAGUGUCACCUAAUGAAGAUUCAUCCCCCAGUCAUAGCACAGUCUGAUGAGAUACUCAGCAGCAUCCUUCCACAAGGUGAUUCAGAAGCCCUGGGCCCUCCCUCCUAGAGGCUCCAUCAUCCUCUGGUCUUUGGAGUUCUCCGUGGACCAUGUCCAGUUGACAGAGAAUAAGGAGGCCUGAAAUAUGGUCUCCUGUGUGAUCAAGAGAAAAAUGAACACAUUGAUGAACACACGGUAUGCUCUCAGAGCAAUCUUAGAAGCGUGGGUCACUUAGGGACAGAGGAUAGACAGCAAGAGAAGAAUGCUGGCCCCGACCACCUCUCCAGUGUGAAUGCCACCUUCCCUCCCUCACCGUUCCCCAAGCAGAGAACCAACAUUCACACAAAUCGGAUUAUGACUUCUCGUGUUUUCAAGAACGGUCAGUCCUCUGAGUCUUCCAGGCCAGAGUCUCCCUCCACAACUAAACGCAGAAGUGGGGUGGAAUAAAGGACAGAGGUACGUGAACUUUCUCUGACUCACCUGGGCUUCGGCCGGAAAUAAGCAAAGUGCUGAUACCUGACGUAGCCGUGACCUGGGCAAGGUAUUGUUUCACAUGAUCCUGUUCCUGAGUGCUUAGGCAAGGCUCGACCAGCCUGAGUCUCACUCUGGCUCCUACCACACCUUGUUUAUUAAGUCAUAAAACUUUCAUGAAGUUAAGCCAGGCAUAGCGGGGCUCAUCUGACUACAGCUACAAGCCUCCAGAAGAGUGCUGGCACUAAGACAGACAUUUGUCGAAGGGUGACUACCUCUCUGCUUGCCAUUCAAUUAUGUCCUGUUUGUUAUGAAUUUUAUUUGAUUCCUCCAUCAGAAUUUCCUUUCCAAUUAUGGAAAGUGAAGAGGUAUCUUAUCAAACAUCAGAUCCAGGACAUUCAGACUUCCAUGUGUCCAGAAGACAAACCCUCGUGUUGCCUUUAAAAUACCUCUCCGCCAGGCACGGUGGCUCACACCUGUAAUCCCAGCACUUUGGGAGGCCGAGGUGGGCGGAUCACCUGAGGUCAGGAGUACGAGACCAGCCUGGCCAACUUGGUGAAACCCUGUCUCUACUAAAAAUACAAAAAUUAGCCAGGCGUGGUGGUGGGUGCCUGUAAUCCCAGCUACUCAGGAGGCUGAGGCAGGAGAAUCGCUUGAACCCUGGAGGUGGAGGGUGCAGUGAGCCGAGAUCGCACCAUUGCACUCCAGCCUGGGCAAGAAGAGUGAGACUCCAUCUAAAAUAAAUAAAUAAAUAAAAUACCUCUCAAAGAUCUUAACUUUGCCUAUUUUUAUUGUUUCAGGAGACACGUAUAUAGUGACGCCACUAUCCAAAGACAUCUUCAAUGAUGCAGCAUCAUUAAUUCAAUGUUUUCUUUUUUUAAAAAAACUUUUGAGUCAACGUAACUUUUUCCCUGACUGUUUUGUUCCUUGAUGUUCUUGCCUUUACCUGGUGUCAAAACCCAUCUGUGAGCACAGUUAGAUAAGGCUUCUCAUUGUUCUCAGGGUGCAUAAAAUCCCUCUCCCUCCCUUCCUUCUCUCCCUCUCCCUGUGCCUUUCUCUGGCUCUCUCUUUUUCUGCCUACCUCAUCUCUACCCUUCCUCCUUCCAGAAGCUUUCAAAUACAAAUUGAGAAAGAAGAAAACUCCCCAAAUAAAACUAUACAAGCAAAUCC
rnacentral:lncRNA from 10 species